rnacentral:rRNA from 1 species
AAACAUCUUUUCUUGAUUUUAUUUGAGAUUUGGCCUGCCCAAUGAUUUUAUUUAAUGGCCGCGGUAUUUUGACUGUGCAAAGGUAGCAUAAUCAUUAGUUUAUUAAUUGUAGACUUGUAUGAAUGGUUUUACGAAAUAUUUACUGUCUCAUUUUUAUUAUUAAAACUUGAAUUUUAAGUUAGAAUGCUUAACUUUUUAUAUAGGACGAGAAGACCCUAUAGAUCUUUAUUAUUUUAUUUUUUUUUAUAUUUGGUUUUGAAAUUAUUUAUUAAAAAUUAAAUUUGUUUAGUUGGGGUGACUUGGAGAUAUAAUUAACUCUUUAUUUUUAUUUUCUUUUAUUUUUGUAUAUUUGAUUUUUUUUUAUUGUUAUAAGAUAUAGAUACCUUAGGGAUAACAGCGUAAUUUUUUUUGAGAGUACUUAUUGGCGGAGAAGUUUGCGACCUCGAUGUUGGAUUAAGAUUAUAAUUAGGUGUAGAAGCUUAAUCAUUAGGUCUGUUCGACCUUUAAAAUCUUACAUGAUCUGA